GACAGAGGGUGCAAACGUUGUUCGGAAUUACUGGGCAUAAAGAGCACGUAGGUGGUGCGCUAAGUCACGUGUGAAAUCCCCCGGCUCAACCGGGGAAUUGCGCGUGAUACUGGCGGACUCGAGGCGGGUAGGGGUGAGCGGAACUCCAGGUGGAGCGGUGAAAUGCGUAGAUAUCUGGAGGAACACCGGUGGCGAAAGCGGCUCACUGGACCUUACCUGACGCUGAGGAGCGAAAGCGUGGGGAGCGAACAGG
rnacentral:rRNA from 1 species